rnacentral:rRNA from 1 species
UGAGGAAUAUUGGUCAAUGGGCGCAAGCCUGAACCAGCCAUCCCGCGUGAAGGAUGACGGCCCUAUGGGUUGUAAACUUCUUUUAUACAGGAAGAAAAAUCCCUACGUGUAGGGACUUGCCGGUACUGUAUGAAUAAGCAUCGGCUAACUCCGUGCCAGCAGCCGCGGUAAUACGGAGGAUGCAAGCGUUAUCCGGAUUCAUUGGGUUUAAAGGGUGCGUAGGCGGCUUUUUAAGUCAGUGGUGAAAUCUUGCCGCUUAACGGUAAAAUUGCCAUUGAUACUGAAGAGCUUGAGUACAAUUGAGGUAAGCGGAAUGUGUAGUGUAGCGGUGAAAUGCUUAGAUAUUACACAGAACACCAAUUGCGAAGGCAGCUUACUAAACUGUCACUGACGCUGAUGAACGAAAGCGUGGGUAGCGAACA